UACGUAGGGUGCAAGCGUUGUCCGGAAUUAUUGGGCGUAAAGAGCUCGUAGGCGGUGUGUCGCGUCGGCCGUGAAAACCUGCAGCUUAACUGUGGGCUUGCGGUCGAUACGGGCAUCACUGGAGUUCGGCAGGGGAGACUGGAAUUCCUGGUGUAGCGGUGAAAUGCGUAGAUAUCAAGAGGAACACCUGCGGCGAAGGCGGGUUGCUGGGCCGACACGUGACGCUGAGGCGCGAAAAGCUAGGGGAGCGAACGGGG
rnacentral:rRNA from 1 species